UAAGACUCCUCCAAUCCAUCUGAAUGGUGGAUCUCACAGCUGCGCAGUCCUAGCAGAGGUGGAUGAAACUGGACCUGAUUCUGCAUUAGGCCCAUGGGAGGGAAAUGAUAGUGGCCACAAGGUCUGGCUUCAAGGUCACAGCUCCUAAGAACUUAUAUGCCCCUAUGCAGUGGUAUCGGAGAGAAAAGAGGAAGGAAAUCGACAUUCAGCUGCAUGGAGGGCAUCACCCCAAAACAGGCUGUUGCUAUGGGAGAGUUGAUGACAAUCAUUAUGCCAGCAGCUUACAAGUAGUAAGGGCUUACUUCCUGUUAGGCACACUCACUUCUCAGACCAGAUUAUGGUUGGUACCAUCUAUUUUUUUUUAUUUUUAUUUAUUUAUUUAUUUAUUUAUUGUCUUUUUGCCAUUUUCUUGGGCUGCUCUCGAGGCAUAUGGAUGUUCCCAGGCUAGGGGUCGAAUUGGAGCUGUAGCCGCUGGUCUACACCAGAGCCACAACAACGCAGGAUCCGAGCUGCGUCUUUGACCUACACCACAGCUCACGGCAACGCUGAAUCCCCAACCCACUGAGCAAGGACACUAUGUUGGGUUAUCAACCCUCCGAGCCACAGUGGGAACUCCCUGGGGUAGGUACUAUGGUCCCCACUGUAUAGAUGAGAACUGAGUCACGACACGGUUAAGGACUUGCCAAAAGUCACAAACAGAAAGGAUGAAGCCUGGAUGGGACCCUGGCGUGUGCAGGGUUGACCAAUGGACUACACAACGCGGCAAAAGGAAGAUGGGGAUGAGCCUGGAGCUGAUGCUGAGGCCAGGCCAAGAUCCUGGGCAGUGAAUCCGCCACCUGCCUGGUGGGCUGUUCUGGCUCCAGCAUCCAAGUCAGAGAGGAGACCUUCACUGGUCCUCCCUGUGCGGGUCAGAGGCCUUCCUCAAGUCUCCAGUGACCCAGCAACUUCCGAGCUCCGAUAGCUCCCCUGGAGCCCUCUCUCUCUCUCCUUGUGAGAAAGGCACAGCUCAAUCAUCUGUUGGCCAUGACUGUCUUCCCAGCCCAGGUCUGGGAGGCAGGAGGCGGGCUGGCUGUCCUAAGCCUUUUGGCCUCAGGGCCCCCAUUAUAACCUAACAGGCAUGGCUAGUGGGAUCUGCCCACAAAUAACGAUCCAUCAACUCUUACAGACUAGACUCAUUAAGUCUUCAAUAAAAACGGGCAAAGAGUUCCCGUCAUGGCUCAGCGACAGCAGCGAAUCCGACUAUUAUCCAUGAGGAUGAGGGUUCGAUCCCUGGCCUUGCUCAGUGGGUUAGGAUCUGGCAUUGUAUGAGCUGUGGUGUCGAUUGCAGACAGCAAUGCUCAGAUCUGGCAUGGCUGUGCCAGUGGCGUAGGCCAGCAGCUGUAGUUCCGAUUCAUUCCCUAGCCUGGGAACCUCCAUACGCCGCGGAUACAGCCCUGAAAAAGCAAAAGCAAAAAAAAAAAAAAAAAAAAAAAAAAAA
rnacentral:lncRNA from 1 species